GACGAACGCUGGCGGCGUGCUUAACACAUGCAAGUCGAACGGAAAGGCCCUGCUUGCAGGGUACUCGAGUGGCGAACGGGUGAGUAACACGUGGGUGAUCUGCCCUGCACUUCGGGAUAAGCUUGGGAAACUGGGUCUAAUACCGGAUAGGAGCCAUCUUUAGUGUGGUGGUUGGAAAGUUUUUUCGGUGUAGGAUGAGCUCGCGGCCUAUCAGCUUGUUGGUGGGGUAAUGGCCUACCAAGGCGGCGACGGGUAGCCGGCCUGAGAGGGUGUACGGCCACAUUGGGACUGAGAUACGGCCCAGACGCCUACGGGAGGCAGCAGUGGGGAAUAUUGCACAAUGGGCGCAAGCCUGAUGCAGCGACGCCGCGUGGGGGAUGAAGGCCUUCGGGUUGUAAACUCCUUUCGCUAGGGACGAAGCUUUUUUGUGACGGUACCUAGAUAAGAAGCACCGGCUACCUACGU
rnacentral:rRNA from 1 species